CAAUCCAGGAGGAGGAGGUGGCCGUUUCUUCUGACCUGUAAUCCUAACCUCCUUAACAGCACUGAGAAAAGGGCUCAGAGGCAAGCAGGGAUCAAGCCCCUCAGGAGCAACAUACUGUUCAGACAGCAGCUCACUACCACAGCAGUCUAAUUGCCCGGGAGGCUCCCAGCAGGAGUGUGGCAGGCCUCUGGCAUUCCCAAUCCUGGCAAAGCUCUGCGCCAGUACUGCCGCAGUGCCAGCACGCCCGCCCCUACCCAGCAUCCACGCCAGGGAUCUCAUAACCCAGAAGGAUCCCCCAUGAGGAACUCCCCACAAGGCCUCUUUGGAAACGGAUGGGAAACCCCAGGGAAGCAGCAGAAAGGUUGGAAAGAUCGGAGAAUUAAGACAGAAGGUCAGGCCCCCAUGCCAUGUCCACAACAUCACCCCAACACACACACGCCCACAAACACACACACAGGGGCCCCUCCUUGGUUAUGAAGAGGGGUGCGCGGAGAAGCAGCUGGGAGACGUGGAGCCACAAUGGCCCUUUAGGGCGAGA